rnacentral:rRNA from 1 species
AGACCCGAAACCCGGUGAUCUAGCCAUGGGCAGGUUGAAGGUUGGGUAACACUAACUGGAGGACCGAACCGACUAAUGUUGAAAAAUUAGCGGAUGACCUGUGGCUGGGGGUGAAAGGCCAAUCAAACCGGGAGAUAGCUGGUUCUCCCCGAAAGCUAUUUAGGUAGCGCCUCGUGAAUUCAUCUCCGGGGGUAGAGCACUGUUUCGGCUAGGGGGCCAUCCCGGCUUACCAACCCGAUGCAAACUGCGAAUACCGGAGAAUGUUAUCACGGGAGACACACGGCGGGUGCUAACGUCCGUCGUGAAGAGGGAAACAACCCAGACCGCCAGCUAAGGUCCCAAAGUCAUGGUUAAGUGGGAAACGAUGUGGGAAGGCCCAGACAGCCAGGAUGUUGGCUUAGAAGCAGCCAUCAUUUAAAGAAAGCGUAAUAGCUCACUGGUCGAGUCGGCCUGCGCGGAAGAUGUAACGGGGCUAAACCAUGCACCGAAGCUGCGGCAGCGACACUGUGUGUUGUUGGGUAGGGGAGCGUUCUGUAAGCCUGUGAAGGUGUGUCGUGAGGCAUGCUGGAGGUAUCAGAAGUGCGAAUGCUGACAUAAGUAACGAUAAAGCGGGUGAAAAGCCCGCUCGCCGGAAGACCAAGGGUUCCUGUCCAACGUUAAUCGGGGCAGGGUGAGUCGACCCCUAAGGCGAGGCCGAAAGGCGUAGUCGAUGGGAAACGGGUUAAUAUUCCCGUACUUGGUGUUACUGCGAAGGGGGGACGGAGAAGGCUAUGUUGGCCGGGCGACGGUUGUCCCGGUUUAAGCGUGUAGGUGUGUGUUCCAGGUAAAUCCG